GAUGAACGCUGGCGGCGUGCUUAACACAUGCAAGUCGAACGGAAAGGCCCAAGCUUGCUUGGGUACUCGAGUGGCGAACGGGUGAGUAACACGUGGGUGAUCUGCCCUGCACUUCGGGAUAAGCCUGGGAAACUGGGUCUAAUACCGGAUAGGACCACAUUUUGGAUGGUGUGGUGGAAAGUUUUUCGGUGUGGGAUGAGCUCGCGGCCUAUCAGCUUGUUGGUGGGGUAAUGGCCUACCAAGGCGUCGACGGGUAGCCGGGCUGAGAGGGUGUACGGCCACAUUGGGACUGAGAUACGGCCCAGACUCCUACGGGAGGCAGCAGUGGGGAAUAUUGCACAAUGGGCGCAAGCCUGAUGCAGCGACGCCGCGUGGGGGAUGACGGCCUUCGGGUUGUAAACUCCUUUCGCUAGGGACGAAGCGCAAGUGACGGUACCUGGAGAAGAAGCACCGGCUAACUACGUG
rnacentral:rRNA from 1 species